rnacentral:rRNA from 1 species
GAGUUUGAUCGUGGCUCAGAACGAACGCUGGCGGCAUGCCUAACACAUGCAAGUCGAACGGGAUCCGAGCUUCGGUUCGGUGAGAGUGGCGGACGGGUGAGUAACGCGUGGGAACCUGCCCAGUGGUGGGGGAUAACUGCGGGAAACUGCAGCUAAUACCGCAUGAGCCCGAGAGGGGAAAGAUUUAUCGCCAUUGGAGGGGCCCGCGUUCGAUUAGGUAGUUGGUGAGGUAAAGGCUCACCAAGCCGACGAUCGAUAGCUGGUCUGAGAGGAUGAUCAGCCACACUGGGACUGAGAUACGGCCCAGACUCCUACGGGAGGCAGCAGUGGGGAAUAUUGGACAAUGGGGGCAACCCUGAUCCAGCAAUGCCGCGUGAGUGAUGAAGGCCUUC